CUUAUCGAGAGUGGCUGAGGGACUAGGCCCUUGGAAGCCCGGCAACCAGCGCGGCGAUAGCAGCGAAAACGGUGCCAAAUCCUACAGAAUCUGAUUCUGAAAGAUGAGG
rnacentral:ncRNA from 1 species